AACGAACGCUGGCGGCAUGCCUAACACAUGCAAGUCGAACGAGACCUUCGGGUCUAGUGGCGCACGGGUGCGUAACGCGUGGGAACCUGCCCUUAGGUUCGGAAUAACUCCCCGAAAGGGGUGCUAAUACCGGAUAAUGUCUUCGGACCAAAGAUUUAUCGCCUUUGGAUGGGCCUGCGUUGGAUUAGCUAGUUGGUAGGGUAAAAGCCUACCAAGGCGACGAUCCAUAGCUGGUCUGAGAGGAUGAUCAGCCACACUGGGACUGAGACACGGCCCAGACUCCUACGGGAAGCAGCAGUGGGGAAUAUUGGACAAUGGGGGAAAGCCUGAUCCAGCAAUGCCGCGUGAGUGAUGAAGGCCUUAGGGUUGUAAAGCUCUUUUACCCGGGAUGAUAAUGACAGUACCGGGAGAAUAAGCUCCGGCUAACUCCGUG
rnacentral:rRNA from 1 species